UACAGAGGGGGCAAGCGUUAUUCGGAAUUAUUGGGCGUAAAGGGCGCGUAGGCGGCUUUGCAAGUGACGGGUGAAAUCCCUCGGCUUAACCGAGGAACUGCCUGUCAGACUGUGAGGCUUGAGACCGGGAGAGGUGAGUGGAAUUCCCAGUGUAGCGGUGAAAUGCGUAGAUAUUGGGAGGAACACCAGUGGCGAAGGCGGCUCACUGGACCGUAACUGACGCUGAGGUGCGAAAGCUAGGGGAGCAAACGGG
rnacentral:rRNA from 1 species